rnacentral:rRNA from 1 species
GUGAAACUGCUUAGAGGUUAAGCCCGAUGAACCUGAAUAUCCAUUGUGGAAAAUUCAUCAUUAAACUUGUGUAUAUAUUUUAUAUAAACUCAAUGUUGGUGUGCAUUUUUUCCACAUAAGGACAUUGUAAUCUAUUAACUUUUAAAAUUUAUCAAAAGAUCAAUUGCUUAUGUUUAUUUAAAUUAGUUAAUUUAUUUUAGCUAACAUAGAAUAAAUGCUUUUGAUUUGAUAAAGUGUUGAUAGCUUUAAUAUUAUAUAAAUGCUUAAAUUCUUAACGAAUUUAACAAUUGCAUGGUUAUUAUUGAUUUCUGUGUAUAUUUGUUUGCAUUUAUUUGAUUGACAAUGCGAAAGAUUCAGGAUACCUUCGGGACCCGUCUUGAAACACGGACCAAGGAGUCUAACAUAUGUGCAAGUUAUUGGAUAUAAAUAAAUCCAUUAGCGAAAUUAACAUAACUGCAUAUUAAUGGGAUUAGUUUUUAGUCUAUUCAUUUAGUCUAUUAAUUCAAUCCCGGGGCGUUCCAUAUAAAUUAUGUUUAAUAAUAUUUUUAAUAUUAUUUAGACCUCUAAUUUGGGGCGUACCCUGAGCAUAUAUGCUGUGACCCGAAAGAUGGUGAACUAUACUUGAUCAGGUCGAAGUCA